rnacentral:tRNA from 1 species
UCGCCGCGCUCGAGCCGGGACAGGGUCGAGCGGCUCACGUCCGCACGCUGCGCGAGGUCGUCGAGCGACCAUCCGCGCUCGGUGCGCAGCUCGGCGAGCC